rnacentral:lncRNA from 1 species
UAUGAUGAAUUGUUAUAUUGAAUAUUGUCUUCACAAGUCGAAUUUGAGAACUUAAAAUAUUGGUAUGAAUUCUGUUUUUAAAAUUAAAUGAAUUUGUUUAAAAAGAAAAAUGACUUCUUUGGUUGUUUUAUGAUUUUUAUCAACCUUUGAUUUUCUAUAUCGGUGUUAAGUAUUGACAUUCUCACUGGGCUACUGUAGCUCAUUCUUCUUAUUUAACUAUUUCAGAUCAUGAAAAUCAAGAUCCAGAUCCUAAAUAACAAGAAGGUUGCGACUAAAAAUUGCCUCCCACAUCCCAUCAGAGUUUCCCAGUGAAGGUUGACUUUAUAGGAUUCCCACAUCUCCUCAGAGCUACCAUACGAAGGUUGACCCCUUAGGAUUUUAGUUACGUUUUUAUUUCUGUUAUUUUAAUUCCCUAAAAUGGACAUUCCCGUAAGCCUUAUUGAACAUUUAGAUUUACUGUGCAAGGAAUGUAAACCCUAAACUCUCAGUUGCUUAUAUUAUUAUUCAAUAUUUC